GCGCUGAUGGAGAAUUAGUGUCCUUGCUACUUCGCUGAUCAGAGGAAUUCAAGACGGCUUUAGCACCGCCCUUAAACAAAGACUCUGAGUGUGAAGUGUUUGGACGGACCAAUCAUCAAGAAGAAAACUUCAAGUGGGUUCCAUCAUUCUUUUUGUCCAGAAAGAUAUUCAUUGGAGGCCUGGCAAAGGACACCACCUUGGUGGGCAUUGAUGGCUGAUUUGGAAAUUCUGGGAUUAUGAAGGAAACUGGGUUGAACAAAUGUGCGAGGUCCAGAUUGUGCAAUGUGUUUGGUUCUAAAGCCUGUAGAGAGAAAAUGCGGAGGGACAGACUGAAUGACAAAGAACAUUUGUGGGGGUGGACUUCUUUAGCGUAUUUCAAAAGGUUUGUCUUCAAACAAAGGAUCAGUGUGUAUCUAAUAUUGUAGAGUUCUCUGAUGCAGUAGGUGAGCUGAAAGUAGAGAAAAAGAGGGUUUCUCUACUAAUGGCGGCUGCAACCUUUCAAGUGGCUACAGUUGGUUCUCUCAUUGAUCUGGCCACUACCCAAGGAACAGUGUAGAGAGCUAGAGAAUUAGUUCAGUGGGGGAUUUUCAGAUUGUGAGCACAUGCAGAUGACGUUAGCCAAGGAAUUUCAGCACAUGGAGUCUUAAGUAUGCAAAGGUUUAGAGAAUUGAUUACUGUAACUUUGGUGAUUGUUAUCUCCCUGUCUAUGAAUGUUGGAUUGUGUUAGUUAUGACGUCAAUAUGUUCAACUUCACAACUUAUUGUUCUCUCCCCCUGAUUUGGUUCUCUGCAAAUUUUUAUAUCAGAGUUUUUUGUACUUCAUAUUUUUUAUUGCUUCUGGACUUUAGGUGAUAUUGUUUUCUGAUUUGUUUUAGAUUGGUUUGAUUGUUUUGUUUCUUAAUAGGGAUAGGUACUUCCAUGUAAAUUUUCGGAAUAAUGUAUCUUGGCUUCUACACC